rnacentral:rRNA from 1 species
UUUCUAUGCGCCGACCUCAGAGCAGGUG